rnacentral:tRNA from 1 species
GCAGCAGGCUUGGCCGAAUGCUUAAGCUGUCCGCUUAGUAAGCGGAAGAUCAUGGGUUCGAUUCCCAUCUGCUCCA